GACGAACGCUGGCGGCGUGCUUAACACAUGCAAGUCGAACGGAAAGGCCCUGCUUUUGUGGGGUGCUCGAGUGGCGAACGGGUGAGUAACACGUGAGUAACCUGCCCUUGACUUUGGGAUAACUUCAGGAAACUGGGGCUAAUACCGGAUAGGAGCUCCUGCUGCAUGGUGGGGGUUGGAAAGUUUCGGCGGUUGGGGAUGGACUCGCGGCUUAUCAGCUUGUUGGUGGGGUAGUGGCUUACCAAGGCUUUGACGGGUAGCCGGCCUGAGAGGGUGACCGGCCACAUUGGGACUAAGAUACGGCCCAGACGCCUACGGGAGGCAGCAGUGGGGAAUAUUGCACAAUGGGCGGGAGCCUGAUGCAGCAACGCCGCGUGCGGGAUGACGGCCUUCGGGUUGUAAACCGCUUUCGCCUGUGACGAAGCGUGAGUGACGGUAAUGAGUAAAGAAGCACCGGCUAACUACGUG
rnacentral:rRNA from 1 species